rnacentral:lncRNA from 1 species
CUCUCACUGUCCAGUCCUGCUGGGAACAAAUGGUGUCCUCAGGCCCUGCCUUUGGUAGAAACUGCAUCUCCAAUAUCCUCGCCUUAGAAAGGUCACCUGCUCAGUGAGGCCUGGGGACCCAUGCCCUGAGUCUUGCAGCUCUGAGCCAGGGCCUCAUGAAGAAUAUGCUCAUCUCUGAAGUAGGAGGUACUAGUCAGCAAGGACUGUAGUCAGCAGCUAUCCUAUACUAGGCCCUAUGCCACAUUCCAGACUGAAUUGCAUGUCUCCUCUCCCAGAUUCAUAUGUUGAAGCCCUAGCCCCACAUGUGACUAUUUGGAGUUAGGCCUUUUUAGAAGUAGUUAAGGACAAAUGAAGUUGGAAGGGUAGAGUCCUAAUCCAAUAAGACCAUCAAUAGGAAGAAUUGGGGCCUCAUAAGAAAAGGAAGACAGACUCUCUCUCCAAGCCUCUCAGACUUUCCAGAAGUGUGUGAAAAUAAAUUUGUGUUUAAGGCCUAGUUUGGCAUUUUGUUAUAACUGCUCAGGCUGACUGAUGCAGCCAGGAACCAAGUACUCGUUAUUUUAUUGUUUCUUCCUUAGGACUUGUGAAGAGAGAGGACCUAGCAGCCCCUACUGGUCCUUGCCCCUGCUAGUCCUGUCUGCCACCCUCUGUAGUGUGACUUUGAGCCUCAGUUGGUGGUGCAGGAAUGAGGAGAGGACAUUGCAGACAAAGUCUGGAGCUGUGGGGUGGGGCUUCAGGCUAGUCUCAGCCUGUACACAGGACCUCUGCUGGGACCUAGGGUCUGUGCUACAGCCAUCAUGGACCCUCCUCUGUUGGCUAGAGGCUGAAAAGAACUUUUUGCAAGAUGUUCCGGACAGUGCCUUAUAACUGAGUGCACGUGAGGUUGUAUGAGCAGGUGACAGACUGGCCUGGUCCUGCCUAUCAUGAGCUGCUGGGCCACACCUUUGCCA